UACAGAGGUCCCAAGCGUUGUUCGGAUUCACUGGGCGUAAAGGGUGCGUAGGCGGUCGGGUAAGUCUGAUGUGAAAUCUCACAGCUUAACUGUGAAACUGCAUUGGAUACUAUUCGGCUUGAGAGUUGGAGGGGGACUGGAAUUCUCGGUGUAGCAGUGAAAUGCGUAGAUAUCGAGAGGAACACCAGUGGCGAAGGCGGGUCUCUGGGCCGAUACUGACACUGAGGAGCGAAAGCGUGGGGAGCGAACAGG
rnacentral:rRNA from 1 species